GAGCGGCGAACGGGUGAGUAACACGUGAGCAACCUACCCUCAACUUUGGGAUAAGCCUCGGAAACGGGGUCUAAUACCGGAUAAUACCGUCUGCCUCAUGGUGGGUGGUUGAAAGUUCUGGCGGUUGGGGAUGGGCUCGCGGCCUAUCAGCUUGUUGGUGGGGUAAUGGCCUACCAAGGCGUCGACGGGUAGCCGGCCUGAGAGGGCGACCGGCCACACUGGGACUGAGACACGGCCCAGACUCCUACGGGAGGCAGCAGUGGGGAAUAUUGCGCAAUGGACGAAAGUCUGACGCAGCAACGCCGCGUGAGGGAUGACGGCCUUCGGGUUGUAAACCUCUUUCAGCAGGGACGAAGCGAGAGUGACGGUACCUGCAGAAGAAGGACCGGCCAACUACGUGCCAGCAGCCGCGGUAAUACGUAGGGUCCGAGCGUUGUCCGGAAUUAUUGGGCGUAAAGGGCUCGUAGGCGGUUCGUCACGUCGGGAGUGAAAACUCGGGGCUUAACCCCGAGCCUGCUUCCGAUACGGGCAGACUAGAGGUAGGCAGGGGAGAGCGGAACUCCUGGUGUAGCGGUGGAAUGCGCAGAUAUCAGGAAGAACACCGGUGGCGAAGGCGGCUCUCUGGGCCUUACCUGACGCUG
rnacentral:rRNA from 1 species